GCCCAACAGCCCGCAGCCGUGGCGGAAGUCACAGAAGUAGUGCGCGUGCAAGGGAAUCUUCAGCUUCUGUUAAACUCGAGAGACUCAAUUAGCGUUUCGUAUGUCUCCGGUUUUCCCCUCUAAGAUAAGACUUUCACUGAGGGAAAACCAGCAUUACAUAAGUUCUUAUUAUCCUUGCCAGCGGACGAAAAGAUAUCAGAACUGAUAAAUUAUUUUAGUGCGAAGUUACACCUGUGCAGUGAUCUCAGCAGCGGUUCAUUGUAGCGGAUAGGACCUGCCUUCAGGUGUCUGAAGACCCACAGACAGGAUGAUUUACAUCAUAAUGGGAGUCUCAGGCUGUGGAAAAAGCUCUCUAGGGGCCCUUCUAUCAGAAAAGCUGGGCUGGCCCUUACACGAAGCGGAUAACUUUCACCCACAGGAGAAUAUUGAGAAGAUGGCUCGUGGUGAACCGCUGACAGACCAGGACAGAUUUCCUUGGCUUCUCAAACUACAUGAAGUCAUCGAGAGUGAAAGGAGUUCAGGCACUGAUGCUCUGGUGACAUGCUCUGCUCUGAAGCGCCUGUACAGACAGAUCCUGCUCUAUGGCUCCAAAGCCCUGGUUUCUUCUUCUGGUCCAGACAAAGAUAUCCUGCCUCCGUCCUCCCCUGAUGUCUUUUUUCUCUUCCUACAUGGAGACUACGAUCUCCUUCACCAGAGGCUGGCAGCCAGGAGGGGACAUUACAUGAAAGCAAACCUGCUGCGUUCCCAGUUUGAUGUUUUAGAGCCUCCGUUGGAUGAGGAGAACGUGUUGCCACUGGACGUCAGGAGGAGUGUCCCGGAUAUGGCCACGCAGGUCGAGCAGCACGUCAUCAGCCUCAAGUCAUCACCAGUGCACAGCAGACCGAAGGAGAAGCUGUGCUAGGGGCAAGGCUCUAGUGACAGUAGUAUUAAUCCUUCUGGAAAACCAAAGGGAAGGAAUAAUUCUCCUACUGUAGACUGAGCAGAUGUUGUACAGCAGUGGUGAGGUCUCCUCCUGUGCUGAUGAGGGCCUGAAGGUUUGCCUCUCUGUCUUUGAAGCCCAUCGAGCUCAGCUGCUCCAGCUCCUCCUGGAACUCCUCACCGUGGACCUGACGGCACAUGACAGCAGACUCAGGAUUCUGGCUGAGGCAGUUCAGGAGAGUGCUGACAUACGGCCCAGACAGCAGGCUCUCCAACAGUCCUGGGCUGGCUGUGAUUUCCUCUAGCAGUGACUGCAUGCCUGAGGGGGAAAAAAGGGGUGAAAUAACGGUGCUCUGAGGGUUUGGAGCAGCUCUGGGUCCAGAGGUCAGUCCUCUGAGAGGAUCUGUGGAGUGAUUGGGUUCCUGAGGAGCUCGAGCACCUGGAGAAGGAAGCGAGAGCAAGAGAUGCUGAACAUAUGGGUGGAAGAAAUGAGUCAAGAAGGGAGCAACUACGUUCAAGUCACAGUGAGGAGCUGCUGAAUUUGGGGAUUAGACAGAAUGAGCUGUCUGGUUAGUUGAGGGCUGGAGGUGGAGAGGGUGCUCUGCACGAAGGGGCUGCUCAGGACACGACGCAUCGUCUCCGGGUCAGACAGCAGCUGGCUCUCCAUCUGGCACUGCAGUGCAGAGAAGAAGCCAGGAGCGCUGUUUGACAGGCCAAGACUGUCCAGACCUUCCACUAUGGAAAUGAGACCAGAUCAAAAGAACAGGAGUAUAUAAGCCCAGGUGACUCAGGUGUUCCGACUCCCUGAGGACCCGGCCGGAGUGGAUCAGCACCAGCCGCUCUGCCGGUACGUCCAGCCGCUCUGCCAGACCGCAUUUCAGCUGAACACACCAAAACACCUCAGUCACUGUUUUUCAGACACAUUAAGCUACAGCUUAAGCGCAAAUCGAGCCAUUUCUCACACACACCGACCGAGCGCAGGAGAUUAGACCCAAAUCAGCGGGCGCUUUGAGUCUCCUGACCUGUCUGAUGGUGCAGCCUUCUCUGACGAUGAAUCCUUUGCUCUCCGUGGGACUUUUGACGGCGACGUGGAUCGUUUCAGACCUCUGAUGAUCAUUCGGUGCCUUCGAGUCAUCUUUCACCGGGUCUGACAUCUCAGUGCCGUCCAGAAUGACGAUGGAUGGAGAGCAGAGCACAGUCCCCGGCCGGAGGUGCGUGCGUGUCCAGAUGACUCGGCAGAAAGUUGUGUGGAUGUGCGUCAGAUUUAACCCGACUGCGCAGGAUGGCGUCGAUAAUCCAAAUUAGUUAUUUUGCCAUUAAUAAUGUACAGUUCUUUACAUGGGUGCCGCCACAGCCAGGAGUGUGAUUAGGCAAAAUUAUUUUAUGUCCUUUAUGUAACCGGAGUCAACUUCAAGACAACGUACAAAAACAAAACAAAAAAAAGAAUGAACGCAAGUGUACACACCCACAAAUCUUUCACUGAAAAAGUAUUUAUUUAUUUACUUAACAGUGAGAAAAAAGAAAAAAAAAACAAACAAAUAAAAUCAUACA